UACGGAGGGUGCGAACGUUAAUCGGAAUUACUGGGCGUAAAGCGCGCGUAGGUGGCUUGAUAAGCCAGUUGUGAAAGCCCCGGGCUCAACCUGGGAACGGCAUCUGGAACUGUCAAGCUAGAGUGCAGGAGAGGAAGGUAGAAUUCCCGGUGUAGCGGUGAAAUGCGUAGAGAUCGGGAGGAAUACCAGUGGCGAAGGCGGCCUUCUGGACUGACACUGACACUGAGGUGCGAAAGCGUGGGUAGCAAACAGG
rnacentral:rRNA from 1 species